rnacentral:pre_miRNA from 1 species
AGUGGGAUAGCUGGGUAAAAUGGUGGUUCCAUUCCAAGUUUUUGGAGGAAUCUCCAUACUGCUUUUCAUAAUGGUUGCACCAACUUGCACUUCCACCAGCAAU